rnacentral:tRNA from 1 species
CAAGGUAUAGCUAAAUUUAAGUAUUUCACUUACGUUGAAAUGAUUUAUCGUUCAUAAUCGAUUUGCCUUGA